GUUAUACAUUUUCUUUCGCUCCACGGGAACGUUCCGGCAAUGUCGGAAACACUGAGGAAAGAAAAAAAGGCGAGCUACGCGGCAGUGUGCAAGACAAGGAGGAAAUCUCUCCAUUUCACGACGGACGCGAGAGCUGCUUCCCCACGAGACAGGCCUUUUUAUGCAACUGAACGCUAACAGGAGCAGUGUGCUCAGCGAAAGUGCGGAUGAUGCCGAGGAUCUACCCACCACAGACUUGGGAGGGACAGUACCUCGAUUUGGAGCGACUUGGUGCGAGACAUACGAACAGCCACUGAGCCAGGCUGGAGACGUUCAGCUGCAACGUCAGGUCUCGAACCUGUGUCAGAGCCGCCACAUUUACCGUCACAAUGACGUGGCCAAUCGCACCAUUGCUGGAAAUUCUGACAAACGCGUGGUUACGCACACACAAAAAUUAAAAACAAACACGCACAAGACAAACGCAGGUCAAAAGGCCAGAAGACGACGACAAUGGCGGCGCGUAACGGCGAUGAUGUGCAAGACGACUCACGCUUCACGUACUAAGAGUCCAACUAAUAAGUAUUUUGCUGGAUAGGUCCUGGGUAGCCAAAGGUGAGUGUGGGGGGCGGUUGAACGAUAUAGAACAUCGAUAACACGGAUGCUUAUGAAUUUAUCCAGUUGGUAAAGUCAGAGGAAACCGAAGUGGUAGAAUGUUAGUGGAUGGCAUGAAUGCCUCAAAGAACGAAAAACCACGCACUACGGCAAAAUUUGGUGGAGAUAUUCACAGCAACGUAUGCACUUCGCGUAAUGUGGUUUUCUCAACAAGCCAUCAAGGUGGUUCGGGACCAUUUUAACUGUAAUGAAUGAUGCACCGUCCGUAUACUGCACCGUUUGAGACUUCGAAAUUCGAAUUUGUGCACGUGCUACUGAAGUAUCUACAUUGGCUGGAGACGAAUACCAUCUGUGAAUAGCUCAAGCUCAAGAAUCCAAUUUCUACCUUCCUGGCUAAUUAUGUAGAAGUCUGGGCGUGACACGGUUAAGCACUUCAUAGUGAUGUUGGUGUCAGUGUUGUUGGAUGCUUUCACGGCUCAUGGCGAAGUAUCUGAAACCAGCUGCCUCGAAAACGCACGGCGAGGCCUGAAGUGCCAGGUGAAUUCUGCUGCAAUAUUGUCAGUGCAUUUUCGCGGCGAACCACAGGUUGAGUACACUAAUUAAUCUCGCGAUGACUUAUGACAAGUCUCUGAACUGGCGCCUGUCAUACGCGCCAUUAGCAUUCGGCGUAGCCUAACCAAUCGCCGUGCAAGGAUGAAAGCCACUUCAAUAGCGGAUGUAUUGUCUCGCUGGGUUUUUACUUUAUCACGUCCUUUCUUUUUGGGUGCUUCGCCCUUACCCCUACAAACAGCGCGCUGAGCUGUACUUUCACCUUAGGCUUCCCUAAAGGUGUUCCAAAUGUUCUGCCUCGGGUCAAGCUCUCUCUUUCUCUCUCUCUCUCUCUCUCUCUCUCCCCCUCUCCCUCCUGCAUUUCACACACUCGGUCGUUCUUCAGGACUCGCCGCUACAGUACAAACGCAUUUCCUUCACUAAGUUUGGCGUGCGUGAUUUCUGUAUACUGCCGAUUGGUGCUCGCUGGUAGUGUCAUGUUUUUUCCUGAUGCAAAAUUGCUGCCACACCGCAGUUUCGAACGCAUUGCCACAAGCGUGAACAUGCAGGAAGCGCAAACGAAAAGCGGAGGAAGAUUACGAGCCAGG